CAAUUUCUCAAACGAAAAAAUAAGUAGUCAGACGCUUAUUUUUUCCCCCAAAUUAGAGAGCGCUGAUAUUAGGGUUUCUUCUCCCAAAUGCCUUAUAAGAAUUCCUCUGAAGUAAUUGCGGCAAUGUUUUCACUCGCUUUUUACUUCCUUCCAUGUUUAAAGGUAUAUAACUCUUCUACCACAUAUAUACGGGUCCCAGUAGAAGACAGUACCGGUUGAUGUCAGAUGAUGAGUUGAUGAGGCGGUAAUGCUUUAGGUCAUGUUGAACAGCACUGCCUUAUGAGUGUAUUAUCCUCUCUGUGUUUGAAGCAUAACCCAACAGGGUUUUUUUAUUAGGUCUGGUUUGAUGGUUAGCUGUAUUUAAACAAACGUUAUGGGUUUUAGGGAGUUUCCCAUCGUCUCCUUUUAUCUCCGGAAUUUUAUCGUCUUCCGAUCGACGUAACUCCGCAUUUUUAUAGUCAUGCGGCUGACUUAUAUUAGCUUUAGACUUCAGGAGCGAAUGUGUGAUAGCUUCUUCGGCAACAGGUUGAGGGAGUGGAUUCAGUAAAGCAGCAGAGGCAUUUUUUUAAAGUGAUGAAUAUGCGGCUUCUUGUGAUGGAAUAACAACGUUCAGGCUAAAAUGAAAAUUUCCUCAGCUUUUAUAUUUGGUUCUGUUAUCUGGAGGAUGGUAAGAUCACAUACUUCAUAAAAUAAAGAUUAUGGUAUAUUUUGUAUCAGGUCCUAUUAAUAAAGAUUAGUGUAGCAUCAACAUGUACUCUUGAUUGCACGAGAAUCGAAAGAAGAGUAAUUUUUCUUUUCCUCAAACUUUUUUUUACUAAAAAGCAAUAUGUUCUUAUACUUUAAUGUUAAACCAAUUGCAAAGCCUUUAGUCUGUGGACAAGUAACAAAAUUUGGGUGAAGAUGCCAUACUUCCAGCCAGUAAAAAUAUCAACCAUCAAAGUACAAAGUGCCGGAUAGAUGAGGACAUAAGAUUCCUAAUGAAUUUCCUUUCAAUUUUCUUAUGUUCAUGCUUAGGUUGUAGGAAAAACAGUGCUAUGGAUGCUCUCUAAAAACUGUUUGUUUCAUCCCCAAGGAACGGGAAAUUUUUGAUUAAGAGUAUGUAAAAAGGUCUUAUGUUGUGGGAUCAUAUUUGAUGUCCAAGUUGAUCGUUUAUAUUUUUAUAGAUAAGUAUUAAGAAUUACUUUUCUCUCUGAUUUAUGUGUCUGAAUUAUGUUGUUUCAUCAUAUGUACUCUUCUUCUGAUUUAUGUGCUUGAGUUAUGUUGUUUCAUCAUGUGCUUAGGCAUGGUUUUUUUUAGAGUUGUGGUUAUUUUUGAAAAUUAUGGGUGUUUCUUACUUUCGCGUUUUUGUUGUUAAUAUUGAAUUAUGAUGAGAUUUAGGUGUUCCAGUUGCAUUGUUUGUCAAAAAGAGUGGUGGGUUGGCGUUCUUCAAAGUGUAGUACUUAUGGAGAAGGGAAUUGUUAUUAUCAGGGUGGUCCUUCUCCAGUGUUACCUCCCCCCACAUAUGUUGCUCCCCUGCCUCGCAAAAACAGAGGUUUUCUUAAGGGAUUUAUUCCUGGGUGAUGCAGUGCUGAGAACUUCAGGAAGAUUAGUUGUAUCAAUCAAGAAGGGUCAGUGCAUCCCAAGCCUCUCGAUGAUAUGACCUGAAUAUGCAGGUGAUGAAAUUUGAAUAAUGUUCCCAGGUCAACUCAAUUUAUUCAGGCGAACAAUAUUAGUGUAUUUGAAUUAUUAUUAUAUAUGUUUGGAUACAUUGUGAAAUUUAGCACAAUUGCUAGUACACCACUUUAAGAUACUCCUUUCAAAAUAUUUAGUACAAGACAUCAUUUUUUAAGUUUAUUGUAAAUCUAUAUAUUGAAUUAUAAAUUAGUUAAUUGAUGUUUGAGAUUAUUUA